UACAGAGGGUGCAAGCGUUGUUCGGAAUCAUUGGGCGUAAAGGGCGCGUAGGUGGUUUGGUCAGUCAGGUGUGAAAUCCCUGGGCUUAACUCAGGAACUGCAUUUGAUACUGCCAGACUAGAGUACGGUAGAGGGUAGUGGAAUUCCCGGUGUAGAGGUGAAAUUCGUAGAGAUCGGGAGGAACACCAGUGGCGAAAGCGGCUACCUGGACCGAAACUGACACUGAGGCGCGAAAGCGUGGGUAGCAAACAGG
rnacentral:rRNA from 1 species